rnacentral:misc_RNA from 1 species
GCCACGCAAACAUACAGUGAACCCAAAACUAGCCAAAUUUAGAAGCAUAAAAAUACAUGCCUUUCCUGAUUUGCAAAGUGCAGCACACUCUGCCUCUGCUUCCGAAGGAGCCUAUACAAACAGAAAAAGAUACGUCCAAAGCAUCAAUAUAUUUUUAUAUCAUCUAAAUAUAAGAUUUUUUUUAUUGCCAUAUUCACAUGUUAAAGCUCUAAUUAGUAAAAGUAAAUCAAACAACGGGAAAAUACCUCAAUUACAGGUACUCCCAUGAGUUUUAA